rnacentral:rRNA from 1 species
CGGUGGAGUGAUUUGUCUGGUUGAUUCCGAUAACGGACGAGACCUCAGCGUGUUCGUUGGGUCCUGCCAAUUUCGAUUGGUUUUGAGGACUCUCUUAGACGGACUAUCGUCGUUUUAGACGGUGGAAGUUUGAGGCAAUAACA